GGCACACGGUGGAUGCCUUGGC
rnacentral:rRNA from 1 species